AUUCCAGCUCCAAUAGCGUAUAUUAAUGCUGUUGCGGUUAAAAAGCUCGUAGUUGGAUCUCGGUGGGUUGCUUUCGGUUGGCUGAUUGGCUUUACUGAAAACGCAAUCCUCUGUUUUUUUGUGGGUCUCGGCCACGGGUGCUCUUAACCGAGUGUCCGUGCGUCGCCCACAGGUUUACUUUGAAAAAAUUAGAGUGCUCAAAGCAGGCCUCGUUGCGCUUGAAUAUUCGUGCAUGGAAUAAUGGAAUAGGACGUCGUUUCUAUUUUGUUGGUUUUCGGAAAUCGACGUAAUGAUUAAUAGGGACAGUCGGGGGCAUUAGUAUUCAGACGACAGAGGUGAAAUUCUUGGACCGUCUGAAGACUGCCAACUGCGAAAGCAUUUGCCAAGAAUGUUUUCAUUAAUCAAGAACGAAAGUUAGAGGUUCGAAGGCGAUCAGAUACCGCCCUAGUUCUAACCAUAAACGAUGCCAGCUAGCGAUCCGCAGGUGUUGUGUUUUUAGGCUCUGCGGGCAGCUUCCGGGAAACCAAAGCCUUUGGGUUCCGGGGGAAGUAUGGUUGCAAAGCUGAAACUUAAAGGAAUUGACGGAAGGGCACCACCAGGAGUGGAGCCUGCGGCUUAAUUUGACUCAACACGGGAAAUCUCACCAGGCCCGGACACUGGAAGGAUUGACAGAUUGAGAGCUC
rnacentral:rRNA from 1 species